UCCUUGUCCUCAGUUUUAAUAAAGGACUGUAUGGCAGGAAUUAUUUUUAGGAAUGGCUCCUAAGAUCCCAUGCCCUAAUACGCAGUUUGUGAAUUCCUCCUAUAAUUAUUUUAUACAGCACAUUUGACCUUAAAGAGAGGUUAUCCAGGUGGUUCUAAUCUAAUCACAUGAACCUUUAAAAUAAGAGAACUUUCUUCAGCUGGCUGCCAGAGAGGAAGUCAGAAAGCUUUUGAGCAUGAGAUAGCACAGGGACAUGCUUUUAUUUGUUUGAAGCUGGAAGGGGCCACAUGAGAAGGAAUGUGGGCAGCUUCUAAGAGCAAACAACAGUCCCUGGCUGACAGCCAGCCAAGAAACGAGGACCUCCAUCCUACACCUGCAAGGAACUGAAUUCUGCCGACACCUGAAUGAGCUUGAAAGUGGGUUCUCUUCCAACACCUCCAGAUAAGAGUCCAGCUGGCUUACAACUUCGUUUCAGCCUUGUGAUACCCUGAGAAGAGCCCAGCUUAGCCUGCCAGGACCCCUGACCUACACAAGGCUGUGAGUGUUGUGAACACUGCAUUCCCUGAAACCACUGAAGAACAAAGCACUGCAUUCAAGCCUAAGGGGAGGGUGGAGGUUACAGAUCCAGCCAUCCGUCUUUCUUCUUCUCCUCAGAGCGCACAGAAUCUAGUUCCCCACCCAGACAUUGAACCUGGGCCCCCUGCAUUGGGAGUACAGAGUCUUAGCCACUGGACCAACAUGGAAGUCCCUUGAUUGGCCUUUUUUUGCUACAUGUGGUUAGGUACAGGAAGACAGAGAUGAGCUAAAGAGAGAACUACUCACUUUGUAAACACUUUAGAGGGACAAUAAUGUAACCAAGACUUUCUAAGUUGGAAAAUAAAACUCUUUCAUAACC
ensembl:lncRNA